GACGAACGCUGGCGGCGUGCUUAACACGUGCAAGUCGAACGGAAAGGCCCUGCUUUUGUGGGGUGCUCGAGUGGCGAACGGGUGAGUAACCCGUGAGUAACCUGCCCUUGACUUUGGGAUAACUUCAGGAAACUGGGGCUAAUACCGGAUAGGAGCUCCUGCUGCAUGGUGGGGGUUGGAAAGUUUCGGCGGUUGGGGAUGGACUCGCGGCUUAUCAGCUUGUUGGUGGGGUAGUGGCUUACCAAGGCUUUGACGGGUAGCCGGCCUGAGAGGGUGACCGGCCACAUUGGGACUGAGAUACGGCCCAGACUCCUACGGGAGGCAGCAGUGGGGAAUAUUGCACAAUGGGCGGAAGCCUGAUGCAGCAACGCCGCGUGCGGGAUGACGGCCUUCGGGUUGUAAACCGCUUUCGCCUGUGACGAAGCGUGAGUGACGGUAAUGGGUAAAGAAGCACCGGCUAACUACGUG
rnacentral:rRNA from 1 species